AGAAUCAACGCUGGCGGCGUGCCUAACACAUGCAAGUCGCACGAGAAAGUGGAGCAAUCCAUAAGUAAAGUGGCGCACGGGUGAGUAACACGUGAAUUAUCUACCUCCGAGUGGGGAAUAACUGAGAGAAAUCUUAGCUAAUACCGCAUAACACUUACGAGUCAAAGCAGCAAUGCGCUUGGAGAGGAGUUCGCGGCCGAUUAGUUAGUUGGCGGGGUAAUGGCCCACAAGACGAUGAUCGGUA
rnacentral:rRNA from 1 species